CGGGUCGAGGGGCGCUGCGACGGAUGAGAAUCCGCCACGCUCGGCCCGUGCCUGGUCGUAAGGGCGCCUCCCACCG
rnacentral:ncRNA from 1 species